GGGGGCGUAGCUCAGUGAGAGCGGUCGGCUAUAAGCGCUAUGCGCCGACACCCGACAGGACGGUGGUGAAAAUCCAUCCGCCUCCACCA
rnacentral:tRNA from 1 species